rnacentral:rRNA from 1 species
CCUACGGGUGGCAGCAGUGGGGAGUAUUGGACAAUGGGCGAAAGCCUGAUCCAGCCAUGCCGCGUGUGUGAAGAAGGCCUUCGGGUUGUAAAGCACCUUCAGUGGGGAAGAAAGCCUUGGGGCUAAUACCCUCGAGGAAGGACAUCACCCACAGAAGAAGCACCGGCUAACUCCGUGCCAGCAGCCGCGGUAAUACGGAGGGUGCGAGCGUUAAUCGGAAUUACUGGGCGUAAAGCGCGCGUAGGCGGUCUGAUAAGCCGGUUGUGAAAGCCCCGGGCUCAACCUGGGAACGGCAUCCGGAACUGUCAGGCUAGAGUGCAGGAGAGGAAGGUAGAAUUCCCGGUGUAGCGGUGAAAUGCGUAGAGAUCGGGAGGAAUACCAGUGGCGAAGGCGGCCUUCUGGACUGACACUGACGCUGAGGUGCGAAAGCGUGGGUAGCAAACAGGAUUAGAUACCCUAGUAGUC